UGGGGGAUAUUGCACAAUGGGCGAAAGCCUGAUGCAGCGACGCCGCGUGGGGGAUGAAGGCCUUCGGGUUGUAAACUUCUUUUGCUCUGAACAAGGCAUGCUAAUGGGUGUGUUGAGUGUAGGGGUUGAUUAGCGCCGGCUAACUACGUGCCAGCAGCCGCGGUAAUACGUAGGGCGCGAGCGUUGUCCGGAAUUAUUGGGCGUAAAGGGCUUGUAGGUGGCUGGUUGGGUCUGUCGUGAAAGCUCAUGGCUUAACUGUGGGUUUGCGGUGGGUACGGGCUGGCUUGAGUGCAGUAGGGGAGGCUGGAAUUCCUGGUGUAGCGGUGGAAUGCGCAGAUAUCAGGAGGAAUACCGGUGGCGAAGGCGGGUCUCUGGGCUGUUACUGACACUGAGGAGCGAAAGCAUGGGGAGCGAACAGG
rnacentral:rRNA from 1 species